AUAUUAUUGCCCAUUAAAAAUAGUACUUUGCUCUGCCUGAUUCCUGUAAUAUAUUCAAGUAAUGAGAAGAUGAGGGCAUAGAGUAGUAGAAAACCAGCUGCGAGGGAGAAGAGAUUAGAUCUGGGCGCACCACAAACAGCGAGGGAGAAGAGAGACACCAGCGAGAAAUCCAGGCGAUAUCAAUGAAGAAUGGACAUUUCAGGAGCAUCAAUGGGGUGGACAUCAUCGUGAUUGAAUAUGAGGUGAUUGAUUUUCCGUUUGGAUUUCUUGGUUGAUCUUGAAACAAGUUGUUAGAAUUACGUUUUUAGGCAUAGCCCACAAUAUAUUUAGUGUGAAACAGGUUCAUUUAAAGAA